rnacentral:rRNA from 1 species
UGAACCAGCCAAGUAGCGUGCAGGAUGACGGCCCUAUGGGUUGUAAACUGCUUUUAUAAGGGAAUAAAGUGAGUCUCGUGAGACUUUUUGCAUGUACCUUAUGAAUAAGGACCGGCUAAUUCCGUGCCAGCAGCCGCGGUAAUACGGAAGGUCCGGGCGUUAUCCGGAUUUAUUGGGUUUAAAGGGAGCGUAGGCCGGAGAUUAAGCGUGUUGUGAAAUGUAGACGCUCAACGUCUGCACUGCAGCGCGAACUGGUUUCCUUGAGUACGCACAAAGUGGGCGGAAUUCGUGGUGUAGCGGUGAAAUGCUUAGAUAUCACGAAGAACUCCGAUUGCGAAGGCAGCUCACUGAAGCGCAACUGACGCUGAAGCUCGAAAGUGCGGGUAUCGAACAGGAUUAGAUACCCUGGUAGUCCGCACGGUAAACGAUGGAUGCCCGCUGUUGGUCUGAAUAGGUCAG